rnacentral:rRNA from 1 species
UUGAACGCUGGCGGCAGGCCUAACACAUGCAAGUCGAACGGUAACAGGAAGCAGCUUGCUGCUUUGCUGACGAGUGGCGGACGGGUGAGUAAUGUCUGGGAAACUGCCCGAUGGAGGGGGAUAACUACUGGGAACGGUAGCUAAUACCGCAUAACGUCGCAAGACCAAAGAGGGGGACCUUAGGGCCUCUUGCCAUCGGAUGUGCCCAGAUGGGAUUAGCUAGUAGGUGGGGUAACGGCUCACCUAGGCGACGAUCCCUAGCUGGUCUGAGAGGAUGACCAGCCACACUGGAACUGAGACACGGUCCAGACUCCUACGGGAGGCAGCAGUGGGGAAUAUUGCACAAUGGGCGCAAGCCUGAUGCAGCCAUGCCGCGUGUAUGAAGAAGGCCUUCGGGUUGUAAAGUACUUUCAGCGGGGAGGAAGGGAGUAAAGUUAAUACCUUUGCUCAUUGACGUUACCCGCAGAAGAAGCACCGGCUAACUCCGUG